UAGGGAAUCUUCCACAAUGGGCGCAAGCCUGAUGGAGCAACACCGCGUGAGUGAAGAAGGGUUUCGGCUCGUAAAGCUCUGUUGUUAAAGAAGAACACGUAUGAGAGUAACUGUUCAUACGUUGACGGUAUUAACCAGAAGGUCACGGCUAACUACGUGCCAC
rnacentral:rRNA from 1 species